GCUGUGCUUAGUUCGUCACAUUGAUGCCAAUUUCUUGAAGUUGCUCAAUGACCUUCGCAAGUAACAAAUCCUUAAUCUUUAUAAAUACUGAAAGAUUUAAAGCAGCUACCACAGACACCGAUUACAGACACUCACUUUAAUGAAAGGUCAACUUAAAAUGAACUAGAAAUCCAUGUGGUGCUUGCAAUGCUUCUUGUUUAUCCAAUUCUCAAUUGAUGUAGGAGAACUAAGUUAACUGAACUGAAAGGUGGAAGGAAGCAAGACAGAGAAAUAUUUUGCUUUUGGAAUAACUGAGACUGGAAAUUAACCACAGCCAGCUUCAAGGCUCACCAGCUGAUCUCUACUCACUAAUAUUUCAAGUGGACCUCUCCCCACAGAGGACCCCAAAAGUACACCCACUACCCCACUCCCAGACAAGGCAAGGAAGGAAGGAGGGGUUGCAAUGACAUCUCCGAGCCACCAGAGAGCAUAUCUUCAUCUGGGUUCAGAACAUUUUACAAAACAGGGGGAAAAGGGGGGAAAAGAUAUCCCUUCCUGCUUCAAUCAAACAAUCCUUGGAUUUCAGACUUUCCAGAAAUAUUAAAUUUCUAAACCACUGUAU